rnacentral:rRNA from 1 species
GAUGAACGCUGGCGGCGUGCCUAAUACAUGCAAGUCGAGCGAACAGACGAGGAGCUUGCUCCUCUGACGUUAGCGGCGGACGGGUGAGUAACACGUGGAUAACCUACCUAUAAGACUGGGAUAACUUCGGGAAACCGGAGCUAAUACCGGAUAAUAUAUUGAACCGCAUGGUUCAAUAGUGAAAGACGGUUUUGCUGUCACUUACAGAUGGAUCCGCGCCGCAUUAGCUAGUUGGUAAGGUAACGGCUUACCAAGGCAACGAUGCGUAGCCGACCUGAGAGGGUGAGCGGCCACACUGGAACUGAGACACGGUCCAGACUCCUACGGGAGGCAGCAGUAGGGAAUCUUCCGCAAUGGGCGAAAGCCUGACGGAGCAACGCCGCGUGAGUGAUGAAGGUCUUCGGAUCGUAAAACUCUGUUAUUAGGGAAGAACAAAUGUGUAAGUAACUAUGCACGUCUUGACGGUACCUAAUCAGAAAGCCACGGCUAACUACG